GCGGCGUGCCUAACACAUGCAAGUCGAACGGAGUUUAUGAAGUUUUCGGACAGAUUAAACUUAGUGGCGGACGGGUGAGUAACGCGUGGGUAGCCUGCCUCAUACAGGGGGAUAACAGUUGGAAACGACUGCUAAAACCGCAUAACAUUGCGACACCGCAUGGUGAUGCAAUUAAAUAUUUAUAGGUAUGAGAUGGGCCCGCGUCUGAUUAGCUAGUUGGUGAGGUAAUGGCCCACCAAGGCGACGAUCAGUAGCCGGCUUGAGAGAGUGACCGGCCACAUUGGGACUGAGACACGGCCCAAACUCCUACGGGAGGCAGCAGUGGGGAAUAUUGCACAAUGGGGGAAACCCUGAUGCAGCGACGCCGCGUGA
rnacentral:rRNA from 1 species